rnacentral:rRNA from 1 species
UUGAAGCAGAGGACAGUGGCGGACGGGUGAGUAACGCGUGAGGAACCUGCCUUUCAGAGGGGGACAACAGUUAGAAAUGACUGCUAAUACCGCAUAUACCCAAGUGUCACAUGGCACAAUGGGGAAAGGAGCAAUCCGCUGAUAGAUGGGCUUGCGUCUGAUUAGCUAGUUGGUGAGGUAACGGCCCACCAAGGCGACGAUCAGUAGCCGGACUGAGAGGAUGAACGGCCACAUUGGGACUGAGACACGGCCCAAACUCC